UACGGGGGGGGCAAGCGUUGUUCGGAAUUACUGGGCGUAAAGGGCUCGUAGGUGGCCAACUAAGUCAGACGUGAAAUCCCUCAGCUUAACUGGGGAACUGCGUCCGAUACUGGAUGGCUUGAGUUUGGGAGAGGGAUGCGGAAUUCCAGGUGUAGCGGUGAAAUGCGUAGAUAUCUGGAGGAACACCGGUGGCGAAGGCGGCUCACUGGCCCGAUACUGACGCUGAGGCACGAAAGCGUGGGGAGCAAACAGG
rnacentral:rRNA from 1 species